GAUGAACGGUGGCGGUGUGCAUAAUACAUGCAAGUCGAGCGAACAGAUAAGGAGCUUGCUCCUUUGACGUUAGCGGCGGACGGGUGAGUAACACGUGGAUAACCUACCUAUAAGACUGGGAUAACUUCGGGAAACCGGAGCUAAUACCGGAUAACAUUUUGAACCGCAUGGUUCAAUAGUGAAAGACGGCAUUGCUGUCAUUUAUAGAUGGAUCCGCGCCGUAUUAGCUAGUUGGUAAGGUAACGGCUUACCAAGGCAACGAUACGUAGCCGACCUGAGAGGGUGAUCGGCCACACUGGAACUGAGACACGGUCCAGACUCCUACGGGAGGCAGCAGUAGGGAAUCUUCCGCAAUGGGCGAAAGCCUGACGGAGCAACGCCGCGUGAGUGAUGAAGGUCUUCGGAUCGUAAAACUCUGUUAUCAGGGAAGAACAAACGUGUAAGUAACUGUGCACGUCUUGACGGUACCUGAUCAGAAAGCCCCGGCUAACUACGUGCCAGCAGCCGCGGUAAUACGUAGGGGGCAAGCGUUAUCCGGAAUUAUUGGGCGUAAAGCGCGCGUAGGCGGUUUUUUAAGUCUGAUGUGAAAGCCCACGGCUCAACCGUGGAGGGUCAUUGGAAACUGGAAAACUUGAGUGCAGAAGAGGAAAGUGGAAUUCCAUGUGUAGCGGUGAAAUGCGCAGAGAUAUGGAUGA
rnacentral:rRNA from 1 species